rnacentral:lncRNA from 1 species
AAAUGUUGUUGACUUCAUAUUUGUGAAAGCAGAAGGUUACCAAAAUCAUCGGCAGGACACAUGGAAGGGGAGUGUGAAUUAGGGGAUUGAGGUCAACACAAUUGAAAGCCCCUGGCCAGCUACAGCUCAGCAAUACUCGGCGACACUCAAGAGUUGUUUUUGAAAUGCAACAUGUAAUUCCUUCUCUGCAGAGCCUGGGCAAAAGUUCCUCUCAGAAGCCCGUACCUCUUUGAGCCUCACUACUUGAGUAUUCAAAGCUGGAGGACAGAAAUGUUGGUGUUUGAUACGUCUCUGCGAGCAACAACUUCUCCGCAGCCUUGUGAUGAGGAAGGAACAAUUUAGAGCCUCCUCUACCCACUGAUCCUUGCCUGCUGAGGUCAUCAAGUCUCUAAGGGCCUCAUUGACA